UACGAAGGGAGCUAGCGUUGUUCGGAAUCACUGGGCGUAAAGCGCACGUAGGCGGAUUUGUAAGUCAGGGGUGAAAUCCCGGGGCUCAACCUCGGAACUGCCUUUGAUACUGCAAAUCUCGAGUCCGAUAGAGGUGGGUGGAAUUCCUAGUGUAGAGGUGAAAUUCGUAGAUAUUGGGAGGAACACCGGUGGCGAAGGCGGCUACCUGGACCGGUACUGACGCUGAGGCGCGAAAGCUAGGGUAGCAAACAGG
rnacentral:rRNA from 1 species